rnacentral:rRNA from 1 species
AGCAGCCGCGGUAAUUCCAGCUCCAAUAGCGUAUAUUAAAGUUGUUGCAGUUAAAAGCUCGUAGUUGGAUUUCGGGGUCAAUACGUCGGUCGUGCCUCGGUACGCACUGACGUUAUUGAUCCCUCCCUUCUGACGAACCGUGAUGUCAUUAAUUUGGUGUUGCGGGGAAUCAGGACUGUUACCUUGAAAAAAUUAGAGUGUUUAAAGCAGGCAAUCGCUCGAAUACAUUAGCAUGGAAUAAUGAAAUAGGACGUUCGAACCUAUUUUGUUGGUUUCUAGGAUCGACGUAAUGAUUAAUAGGGAUAGUUGGGGGCAUUAGUAUUCAAUUGUCAGAGGUGAAAUUCUUGGAUUUAUUGAAGACUAACUACUGCGAAAGCAUUUGCCAAGGAUGUUUUCAUUAAUCAAGAACGAAAGUUAGGGAUCGAAGACGAUCAGAUACCGUCGUAGUCU